rnacentral:rRNA from 1 species
GACGAACGCUGGCGGCGCGCCUAAUACAUGCAAGUAGAACGCUGAAGAGAGGAGCUUGCUCUUCUUGGAUGAGUUGCGAACGGGUGAGUAACGCGUAGGUAACCUGCCUUGUAGCGGGGGAUAACUAUUGGAAACGAUAGCUAAUACCGCAUAACAAUGGAUGACCCAUGUCAUUUAUUUGAAAGGGGCAAAUGCUCCACUACAAGAUGGACCUGCGUUGUAUUAGCUAGUAGGUGAGGUAACGGCUCACCUAGGCGACGAUACAUAGCCGACCUGAGAGGGUGAUCGGCCACACUGGGACUGAGACACGGCCCAGACUCCUACGGGAGGCAGCAGUAGGGAAUCUUCGGCAAUGGGGGCAACCCUGACCGAGCAACGCCGCGUGAGUGAAGAAGGUUUUCGGAUCGUAAAGCUCUGUUGUAAGUCAAGAACGAGUGUGAGAGUGGAAAGUUCACACUGUGACGGUAGCUUACCAGAAAGGGACGGCUAACUACGUG